rnacentral:rRNA from 1 species
AAUGCUUAGGAAUCUGCCUAUUAGUGGGGGACAACAUUCCGAAAGGAAUGCUAAUACCGCAUACGCCCUACGGGGGAAAGCAGGGGAUCUUCGGACCUUGCGCUAAUAGAUGAGCCUAAGUCAGAUUAGCUAGUUGGUGGGGUAAAGGCCUACCAAGGCGACGAUCUGUAGCGGGUCUGAGAGGAUGAUCCGCCACACUGGGACUGAGACACGGCCCAGACUCCUACGGGAGGCAGCAGUGGGGAAUAUUGGACAAUGGGCGAAAGCCUGAUCCAGCCAUGCCGCGUGUGUGAAGAAGGCCUUUUGGUUGUAAAGCACUUUAAGCGAGGAGGAGGCUACCGAGAUUAAUACUCUUGGAUAGUGGACGUUACUCGCAGAAUAAGCACCGGCUAACUCUGUGCCAGCAGCCGCGGUAAUACAGAGGGUGCGAGCGUUAAUCGGAUUUACUGGGCGUAUAGCGUGCGUAGGCGGCUUUUUAAGUCGGAUGUGAAAUCCCUGAGCUUAACUUAGGAAUUGCAUUCGAUACUGGGAAGCUAGAGUAUGGGAGAGGAUGGUAGAAUUCCAGGUGUAGCGGUGAAAUGCGUAGAGAUCUGGAGG